UACAGAGGGGGCAAGCGUUGUUCGGAAUUACUGGGCGUAAAGGGCGCGUAGGCGGCCUGCUAAGUCGAACGUGAAAUCCCUGGGCUCAACCCAGGAACUGCGUCCGAUACUGGUUGGCUUGAAUCCGGGAGAGGGAUGUGGAAUUCCAGGUGUAGCGGUGAAAUGCGUAGAUAUCUGGAGGAAGGCCGGUGGCGAAGGCGGCGCUCUGGAACAUUUCUGACGCUGAGGCUCGAAAGCGUGGGGAGCAAACAGG
rnacentral:rRNA from 1 species